AUUGAACGCUGGCGGCAGGCCUAACACAUGCAAGUCGAGCGAGCGGCGGACGGGUGAGUAAUGUAUGGGGACUGCCCGAUCGAGGGGGGUAAAUACUGGAAACGGUGGCUAAUACCGCAUACUGUCGGAUCACCCCUUUGGGAUUAGCUAGUAGGUAAGGUAAUGGCUUACCUAGGCGACGAUCCCUAGCUGGUCGGAGAGGAUGAUCAGCCACACUGGGACUGAGACACGGCACAGACUCCAACGGAGGCAGCAGUGGGGAAUAUGGCACAAUGGGCGAAAGCCUGAUGCAGCCAUGACGCGUGUAGGAAGAAGGCCCUAGGGUUGUAAAGUACUUUCAGUCGGGAGGCGUUACCGACAGAAGAAGCACCGGCUAACUCCGUGCCAGCAGCCGCGGUAAUUC
rnacentral:rRNA from 1 species